UUUAUGUUUUCUUGACAAUAGCCCAACGUUAGAAAACUUUUCGUGGGUCGUUUCAUUCUCUGGAGAACUGAAAUGUGGGGAAGUUCUCCUAUGCCGACAACCGGAAUUGUCAAAAAUCUGGGAGCGAAACCUGGGUUUCGGAAGGCAGGUGCAGACAUAGCCCUGCGUCACCUUCCUUUGGAAACCUGCCCUGACCUCCCUCGGCGCGUGUGAGGUUGAGCCACAGGAAAACAGCGAGCCCGAAUCCUGUGGCGCCAGCGUCUCCAGUGAGGACUGGCUCAGGAGGCCCGCGGCCCGGACCUGGAGGUACUUGCUCCAGGGCCCCUCCCUGUCGAGUCCAGCACCACGCCUUGACCACGCUGGGACCUUCUGCUCGGGCUUCAGCAGGAUGACGGAGCACUCGGGAGCAAAGACGCCACCCAGCAGCCCUGCAGUGGGGGCCAGGGCGGACAAGACUCCCGCAAGCACCGUGGGCUUCCCGGGCCCUGUGGCACAUGGGCAAGAAGGCCUUGCAGACGCUGCAGAAAAGCAGCAUGCUGAAGAUGAGGGCGCUGGUCUUGCCGAAGGCAUUGGGCAAAUCUCUGGCCAGGAAUGCCAAAGAGAAGGUGCCCCUGCCAGUGCCCCCUGGCACUGGAGAAUGAUAUGUCUGGGCUCUGAGGCUGUCCCUAUCAGGGAACGGUGGGCAGGUGCCCAGUCAGACCCCACAGAGAAAGAAUCACAUCAAUAGGUGACGAGGACAACCCAGGAAUAGCCACAGUUACUUGAAACCCUGUUGCCAGCCUCUGGUGACUCUGAAGGCCAGCACCACGGUCUGGCCAAAAUGGAGAUGACCAUGGCGAACAUGACAGCAAAGGCAGUCUGGUGGAGAAGGAAGGGGCAGUGGUGGGAAGGCUGAGGAACAGCAAGAGGCGAGGAGCGUGAGUAGAGAGCCCUGUUGUCGGCCCUGAUCAUGGGCAGUCCUGACGCUUCAGGAACACUGCGAGGACCAGCAUGGUCAGGCUGGCCAGCAUGAGCGCCACUGAGAUCAGCAUCAACCCCGGGGCUCGUCAGAGACCGGAAGGUACCCGUCCUGGGUGGGCAGAGGACUCUGCCCUGGCUCAGGUACUGCUCCUUGGGGCACAGAAGGCAUUUCUUCAUGUCUGAGGGAGACAGAGUCACGGCUGCCACGUGAUGCUUUGUUGACAAGAGUGUAAUACUGAAAGUAUACAUCGUGACAGUCUCCCUGCUAGCAGAGCAGGGUCACAAGAAAAAAAUCAAGGGGCGCCCGGAAGGCUCAGUCGGUUAAGUGUCUGACUUCAGCUCAGAUCAU